rnacentral:tRNA from 1 species
GCGGACAUAGUCUAGUGGUCAGGACUGGAGCUUCCCAAGCUUCGAACCCGGGUUCGAAUCCCGGUGUCCGCA